rnacentral:rRNA from 1 species
CCACACGACUCUCGGCAACGGAUAUCUCGGCUCUCGCAUCGAUGAAGAACGUAGCGAAAUGCGAUACCUGGUGUGAAUUGCAGAAUCCCGCGAACCAUCGAGUCUUUGAACGCAAGUUGCGCCCGAGACCAUUCGGUCGAGGGCACGCCUGCCUGGGCGUC